CCUGGCUAGAGAUCCUGGCUAGGCUGCUGAUGAACUGAACACUGUCUCCGUGUCAUUCCUUCUUCGCCGACUCCAUCCACACCUUUGGGGACCCCUGGACCCGCUGGGGUUGGACCCCAGCAUUGUGCAAGGUCCACCUUCAUGUACAAUCACAGGGCAUUGUACGCAGCAACCCUCAGAAUGACCAAGAUUGUAUCUCCUGACUCUGCCAACCAGAUAGGUCCUGUGCUCCUGCCUGCCUGGUGACUGUUCCUUAAGCUGAGUCCCUGUGCCAGUCACAGCUAGACUGUGUGUGAUGAGACCGCCAUUUACUUUCAUAAGUGACCCCCCGCCUUGACUGUUAUCUCCAAGAGCUCCAACUCUUUUCUACUUGAGCUGCCACAAAUUCCAUCUCCCCAGAACAUCCUUGCAUAAUUAAUAACCCUAUUUCCACAGGCAGGACUUCAACCUGUCAGGUGUUUUCUUUUUUUUUUCAUGUCUGAUCGCCUCAGCCUUUCCAGCACCAAAGCACAAUGUAUUGUAGAAAGGCAUUGAAAAAAGAACAGAUUUUUGUUUCCUUUUUUUUUUUUUAGCAUAAGAUUUUGAACAACUUUAUUAUAAUUUUAGAUUAGUUAUUAUGAUUAAAAGUUAAUUUUUAACAGA